GACGGAGGAUGCAAGUGUUAUCCGGAAUCACUGGGCGUAAAGCGUCUGUAGGUGGUUCGAAAAGUCCACUGUUAAAAAUUGAGGCUUAACUUCAAAGAUGCCGUGGAAACUUUCAAACUAGAGUAUGGUAGGGGUAGAGGGAAUUUCCAGUGGAGCGGUGAAAUGCGUAGAUAUUGGAAAGACACCGAUGGCGAAGGCACUCUACUGGGCCAUUACUGACACUGAGAGACGAAAGCUAGGGGAGCAAAUGGG
rnacentral:rRNA from 1 species